rnacentral:rRNA from 1 species
CGGGACGGGUGAGUAAUGUCUGGGAAACUGCCCGAUGGAGGGGGAUAACUACUGGAAACGGUAGCUAAUACCGCAUAACGUCGCAAGACCAAAGAGGGGGACCUUCGGGCCUCUUGCCAUCGGAUGUGCCCAGAUGGGAUUAGCUAGUAGGUGGGGUAGCGGCUCACCUAGGCGACGAUCCCUAGCUGGUCUGAGAGGAUGACCAGCCACACUGGAACUGAGACACGGUCCAG